rnacentral:rRNA from 1 species
AAUGAACGUUGGCGGCGUGGAUUAGGCAUGCAAGUCGCGCGAUAAAUCCCGCAAGGGAUCGAAGGCGGCGUAAGGGAGAGUAACACGUGGAUUAUCUGCCCUCGAGUCCGGGAUAGCCGCGGGAAACUGCGGGUAAUACCGGAUGACAUCUCCGGAUCAAAGGUGUGAUUCCGCUCGAGGAUGAGUCCGCGUCCUAUCAGCUAGUUGGUGGGGUAACGGCCUACCAAGGCAAUAACGGGUACUGGGUGUGAGAGCACGACCCAGCUCACUGGGACUGAGACACUGGCCAGACACCUACGGGUGGCUGCAGUCGAGGAUCUUCGGCAAUGGGCGCAAGCCUGACCGGGCGACGCCGCGUGCGGGAUGAAGGCCUUCGGGUUGUAAACCGCUGUCAGUGGGGAGGAAAUUCCCUGGGGUUCUCCCCAGGGAUUGACCUAUCUUCAGAGGAAGUACGGGCUAAGUUCGUGCCAGCCGCCGCCGCCG